rnacentral:rRNA from 1 species
UACGGAGGGUGCAAGCGUUAUCCGGAUUCACUGGGCUUAAAGGGUGCGUAGGCGGGCAAGUAAGUCAGUGGUGAAAUCUCCGGGCUUAACCCGGAAACUGCCAUUGAUACUAUUUGUCUUGAAUACUGUGGAGGUCAGCGGAAUAUGUCAUGUAGCGGUGAAAUGCUUAGAUAUGACAUAGAACACCAAUUGCGAAGGCAGCUGGCUACACAAAUAUUGACACUGAGGCACGAAAGCGUGGGGAGCAAACAGG